rnacentral:rRNA from 1 species
UGGGGAAUAUUGCACAAUGGGCGCAAGCCUGAUGCAGCCAUGCCGCGUGUGUGAAGAAGGCCUUCGGGUUGUAAAGCACUUUCAGCGAGGAGGAAGGUGGUGAACUUAAUACGUUCAUCAAUUGACGUUACUCGCAGAAGAAGCACCGGCUAACUCCGUGCCAGCAGCCGCGGUAAUACGGGAGGGUGCAAGCGUUAAUCGGAAUUACUGGGCGUAAAGCGCACGCAGGCGGUUUGUUAAGUCAGAUGUGAAAUCCCCGGGCUCAACCUGGGAACUGCAUUUGAAACUGGCAAGCUAGAGUCUCGUAGAGGGGGGUAGAAUUCCAGGUGUAGCGGUGAAAUGCGUAGAGAUCUGGAGGAAUACCGGUGGCGAAGGCGGCCCCCUGGACGAAGACUGACGCUCAGGUGCGAAAGCGUGGGGAGCAAACAGGAUUAGAUACCCUGGUAGUCCACGCUGUAAAACGAUGUCGAUUUUGGAGGUUGUGCCCUUGAGGCGUGGCUUCCGGAGCUAACGCGUUAAAUCGACCGCCUGGGGAGUACGGCCGC